AUCUAUAGGUCCAGGACUUUGGGUGUGCUAUAUAGAUCCAGGACUUUGGGUGUGAUCCAUGAAUUUAUUUUCUUUCUAAUUGAAUUUAAAUGUUUUUUACUAAUACAAAUCAACAUCCAUUCCUGAGGCAGGGAAGCUGUCAAUCAGGUGGAUUAUGCUUUGAGCCCCACCCACCAUCACCUGCAGCCCUUUGGUCUCAAGCUUUCCUCAGGACUUAACCGUCUAGCAUCGAGGGUCCAGCAGCAGCAGGAGGUAGGGUGAUUGAUUGGCUUUUUCACACAUAUUUCAGAAUUUGUCUUCAUACACUCAUUAGUUAAAUGAAAUUAGUUGUGUCUGUUUUUGUUUAAGGACUUACAAAAACAAUGAGAUAAGUCAUGAAGCUGUUCCUGACUCAUCUAUGUUGCAGAAAUAUUUCUCCAACCCAUCUGGGCUGUUUUAUAAUCCUGCACCAAAGAAAACACGGGUGGAGAUGAAGAUAAUUCCUUAAUUCAGUUUAAGCUUCCGUUUCUCUCUCCAACUGAUCAUGUGGAGCCGAAAAUGUAGAACACGGACACAAACUUUAAAUGAUUGCUAAUAAUGUUAGCGUUUAUAUUCCACUGAUGUUUACUUACAAUGACUGUAUUGGAAGCUUGUUUUGCCCUGUUUUCCCUGUUUAUAUUACACAAAGUAGUAGAUUUUGGCAUCUAGUCUUUCCAUGUUUGCCGUUUCUAAAUAAAAAAAGGUUUUUGGUU